rnacentral:rRNA from 1 species
UAGGUUAAGCUACUAAGGGCACACGGAGGAUGCCUUGGCGCCAAGAGCCGAUGAAGGACGGGACGAACACCGAUAUGCUUCGGGGAGCUGUAAGUGAGCUUUGAUCCGGAGAUUUCCGAAUGGGGCAACCCACCUGCUUGAAGAGCAGGUAUCGCUAGCUGAAUCCAUAGGCUAGUGGAAGGCAUACCGGGGGAACUGAAACAUCUAAGUACCCCGAGGAAGAGAAAGAAAACUCGAUUCCCUGAGUAGCGGCGAGCGAAACGGGAUUAGCCCAAACCGAAGGACUUGUGCCUUCGGGGUUGUAGGACGUCUCACACGGAGUUACAAAGGAUGGGAAUAGGAGAACUGGUUCUGGAAAGACCGGCCAUAGCAGGUAACAGCCCUGUAUCCGAAAUUCCCAUCUCUCCGAGACGGAUCCUGAGUACUGCGGGACACGUGAAACCCCGUAGGAAUCCGGAGGGACCACCCUCCAAGGCUAAAUACUCCUUGGCGACCGAUAGUGAACCAGUACCGUGAGGGAAAGGUGAAAAGCACCCCGGAAGGGGAGUGAAAUAGAACCUGAAACCGUGUGCUUACAAUCAGUCGGAGCACCCCCAGAGGUGUGACGGCGUGCCUUUUGUAGAAUGAACCGGCGAGUAACGGUUGCGUGCGAGGUUAAGGCGAGAAGCUGGAGCCGCAGCGAAAGCGAGUCUGAAUAGGGCGCUUUAGUACGUAGCUGUUGACCCGAAACCAGGUGAUCUACCCAUGUCCAGGAUGAAGUUCCGGUAACACGGAAUGGAGGUCCGAACCCACUAGUGUUGAAAAACUAGGGGAUGAGGUGUGGGUAGCGGAGAAAUUCCAAUCGAACCUGGAGAUAGCUGGUUCUCCCCGAAAUAGCUUUAGGGCUAGCCUUGGGAGUUAAGUCAUGGAGGUAGAGCACUGAUUGGGCUAGGGGUCCUUCCCGGAUUACCGAACUCAGUCAAACUCCGAAUGCCAUGUACUUGUACCCCAGGAGUCAGACUGCGAGUGCUAAGAUCCGUAGUCAAGAGGGAAACAGCCCAGACCACCAGCUAAGGUCCCUAAAUGAUCGUUCAGUGGAAAAGGAUGUGGAGUUGCCUAGACAACCAGGAUGUUGGCUUAGAAGCAGCCACCAUUGAAAGAGUGCGUAAUAGCUCACUGGUCAAGUGACUCUGCGCCGAAAAUGUAACGGGGCUAAACGAUCUACCGAAGCUGUGGAUGGCGUCACUUACGUGACGCGAUGGUAGGGGAGCGUUCUAAGUGCAGCGAAGCUCAAGCGGAAGCGAGGGUGGAGCGCUUAGAAGUGAGAAUGCCGGUAUGAGUAGCGAAAAGAGGGGUGAGAAUCCCCUCCACCGUAAGCCUAAGGUUUCCUGAGGAAGGUUCGUCCGCUCAGGGUUAGUCGGGACCUAAGCUGAGGCCGAAAGGCGUAGGCGAUGGACAACAGGUUGAUAUUCCUGUACCACCAUGAUUCGUUUGUACGAUGGGGGGACGCAGGAGGGUAGAGAAUCGCGCGACUGGAAGUGCGCGUCCAAGCAGUGAGGCAGGGGAGAUAGGCAAAUCCGUUUCCCUAUAUGCUAGGCUGUGAUGGCGAGGGAAAUUUAUAGUACCGAAGUUCUUGAUCUCACACUGCCAAGAAAAGCCUCUAGGAGAAGAUUGGUGCCCGUACCGCAAACCGACACAGGUAGGCGAGGAGAGAAUCCUAAGGUGCUCGGGAAAACUCUCGUUAAGGAACUCGGCAAAAUGACCCCGUAACUUCGGGAGAAGGGGUGCCCCCUUAUGGGGGGCCGCAGUGAAUAGGCCCAGGCGACUGUUUAGCAAAAACACAGGUCUCUGCGAAGCCGCAAGGCGAAGUAUAGGGGCUGACGCCUGCCCGGUGCUGGAAGGUUAAGGGGAAAGGUUAGCGCAAGCGAAGCUUUGAACUGAAGCCCCAGUAAACGGCGGCCGUAACUAUAACGGUCCUAAGGUAGCGAAAUUCCUUGUCGGGUAAGUUCCGACCCGCACGAAAGGCGUAACGAUCUGGGCGCUGUCUCGACGAGAGACCCGGUGAAAUUGUAUUGCUAGUGAAGAUGCUAGCUACCCGCGACAAGACGGAAAGACCCCGUGGAGCUUUACUGUAGCCUGAUAUUGAAUCUAGAUACGACUUGUACAGGAUAGGUGGGAGUCGCUGAAGCCAGGACGCCAGUCUUGGUCGAGACAACGGUGGGAUACCACUCUGGUCGUAUCGGGGUUCUAACUCGCGCCCGUCAUCCGGGCGGAGGACCGUGUCAGGUGGACAGUUUGACUGGGGCGGUCGCCUCCUAAAAGGUAACGGAGGCGCUCCAAGGUUCCCUCAGCGCGGUUGGAAAUCGCGCCUAUAGAGUGCAAAGGCAUAAGGGAGCUUGACUGCGAGACCUACAAGUCGAGCAGGGACGAAAGUCGGACUUAGUGAUCCGGUGGUUCCGAGUGGAAGGGCCAUCGCUCAACGGAUAAAAGCUACCCCGGGGAUAACAGGCUUAUCUCCCCCAAGAGUCCACAUCGACGGGGAGGUUUGGCACCUCGAUGUCGGCUCAUCGCAUCCUGGGGCUGAAGUAGGUCCCAAGGGUUGGGCUGUUCGCCCAUUAAAGCGGUACGCGAGCUGGGUUCAGAACGUCGUGAGACAGUUCGGUCCCUAUCUGUCGUGGGCGUAGGAAAUUUGAGGAGAGCUGUCCUUAGUACGAGAGGACCGGGAUGGACAUACCCCUGGUGUACCAGUUGUCUCGCCAGAGGCAUCGCUGGGUAGCCAUGUAUGGACGGGAUAAGCGCUGAAAGCAUCUAAGCGCGAAGCCCCCUCCAAGAUGAGAUUUCCCACUGACAUAAGUCAGGUAAGACCCCUUGUAGACGACGAGGUUGAUCGGUCUGAGGUGUACGCACAGCAAUGUGUUCAGCUGACAGAUACGAAUCGGUCGAGGGCUUAUCCUA